rnacentral:rRNA from 1 species
UAGGGAAUCUUCGGCAAUGGGGGGAACCCUGACCGAGCAACGCCGCGUGAGUGAAGAAGGUUUUCGGAUCGUAAAGCUCUGUUGUUAAGGAAGAACGAGUGUGAGAAUGGAAAGUUCAUACUGUGACGGUACUUAACCAGAAAGGGACGGCUAACUACGUGCCAGCAGCCGCGGUAAUACGUAGGUCCCGAGCGUUGUCCGGAUUUAUUGGGCGUAAAGCGAGCGCAGGCGGUUAGAUAAGUCUGAAGUUAAAGGCAGUGGCUCAACCAUUGUAGGCUUUGGAAACUGUUUAACUUGAGUGCAGAAGGGGAGAGUGGAAUUCCAUGUGUAGCGGUGAAAUGCGUAGAUAUAUGGAGGAACACCGGUGGCGAAAGCGGCUCUCUGGUCUGUAACUGACGCUGAGGCUCGAAAGCGUGGGGUGCGAACAGG